AAGCUUAGGAUAGACCCUAAACCAAAG
rnacentral:tRNA from 1 species